rnacentral:rRNA from 1 species
GAUGAACGCUGGCGGCGUGCCUAAUACAUGCAAGUCGAGCGAACGGACGAGAAGCUUGCUUCUCUGAUGUUAGCGGCGGACGGGUGAGUAACACGUGGAUAACCUACCUAUAAGACUGGGAUAACUUCGGGAAACCGGAGCUAAUACCGGAUAAUAUUUUGAACCGCAUGGUUCAAAAGUGAAAGACGGUCUUGCUGUCACUUAUAGAUGGAUCCGCGCUGCAUUAGCUAGUUGGUAAGGUAACGGCUUACCAAGGCAACGAUGCAUAGCCGACCUGAGAGGGUGAUCGGCCACACUGGAACUGAGACACGGUCCAGACUCCUACGGGAGGCAGCAGUAGGGAAUCUUACGCAAUGGGGGAAAGCCUGACGGAGCAACGCCGCGUGAGUGAUGAAGGUCUUCGGAUCGUAAAACUCUGUUAUUAGGGAAGAACAUAUGUGUAAGUAACUGUGCACAUCUUGACGGUACCUAAUCAGAAAGCCACGGCUAACUACGUG